GGUGCUAUAGUGUAGUGGUUAUCACUUGGGAUUUUGAUCUUCGCAUUCCCAAAACCCAGGUUCGAACCCUGGUAGCACCU